rnacentral:rRNA from 1 species
AUGGCAUGCUUUAAGCUCCCACGGGGGCUGUGUCUACAUAUUAAUGGGUUGCUGCGUAAAUUUUGGUGGGGUUCCUAGAAAGGCGAGAGGAAGACAGCAUGGGUCUCUUGGAAGGUCAUGUCACAACCGAAGUUCAUGGGAGGUAUGGGGUUCCGAGACAUCAAGCUCUUUAAUUUGGCACUUUUGGCUCGUCAAGCAUGGCGUCUCCUCCAGGAACCUAACUCGUUAAGUGCUCGCAUCUUGAAGGUUGUGUACUACCCUGAUUCUUCAGUGUUAAAUGCAGAGAUAGGCAAAAACCCGUCGCAGGUUUGGAGGUCGAUCUUCGAAGGAUUAGACACGCUGAAACUUGGCCUCAUAAAACGGAUUGGUUCCGGAGAAAAUACACACAUCUGGGCAGAGAACUGGAUCCCC